GAUGAGGGGAGGCCAUAGUCGCCUAGGCGAGCGACGGCAGGCUGCUGGGCCGCGUCUGGUAGGCCGCGUCCGCUACGACGUGGGCGCCUUCGCCGCGAUGGGGGCCCCCGAGGUAGAGACUGCUGAGUCCCAUCGGAGCCACUGCCGUCCAUCGGCGAGCAGAGGACGGCGUCGUGUGGUUCCGGGGGACGAAGGCCUCUCCGUCGCAGGCGUAGAUUAGAGGCCGGCUGGCCGUCAGAGAGAGAGAGAGAACGAACUACUGCCAGCUGUGGUAGUCCCAGAGCUUGUGUAACACUCUUCUGUGGGUAGUUUGUUUUGUCAUUUUGCAAACAGGCACGAGAGGAAAUCCCAGAGGAAAUAUCUGCCGGAUCUAUACCAUUUUCACAGUCAGAGGUAUCUCAACCAUCUCAGCCUUCUCAAGACAGUACAGACAUCAAAAUAUCUUCAACUGCCACCCAUGUAUCACCUGCAGCAUUGUCAUGCUCUCUUGAAAAGUCGGAAUAUGGCACGGAUUUUGAGGCUAGCUCAUCAGAGGAUACAGAGUGCAGUGCUGUAGAUAAAAGCUCUGAGACAAUAUGUGGUAUUUACAAUUACAAGAUUAAGGUUUCUGCAGAAACCAUACAGCGUGGUGCAGCUGCUCUUAGCCAACACAUGUUAAAAAUGCCAUACUUCUCUGACAGUGAAGAGCUUAUUCAGGAAGGCACUAUAAGAAGAAUGGCAGUAUCAGUAACAGAGUAAGUGAUGAAAGAAGAGCACGUGAGCAACCAUCUGGAGCCAGUGACCAUGUUAGCAUUGCUGUUAGGGCAGUCCCAGCUGGGUCUUCCUCAGGAUGGAUAGCUUCUCUGUAGAAGAUAUCUGAUUCUGCAGUGAAGAGUUUCUUGAAGAAAGGUUGAAGGACUUCACAUGGUGUCUCUGAAAACAAUGAGACAAUUGCUUUUAGCAUUGGUGUGUGUAGAGUGAUAGUGGAAUGCUCCGCUGAAUGGCAGCUGAUCAACAAUAGAAGGAUCUCAUGUUCUUGCCUAUAAGUGCAAUUGAGGGGGUGGUGUCAGUCCUGUGGGAAGGAUCCAGUGACACCUGUCAAUCAUUGGUGGUGGGCGAGCACCCUGCUCUCUCUCUCUCAUAUCUAACCAGUAACCCACAAUUUGUUUUGAUUAUGUGGUUAUGUGUUCCAUAUUCAUGUACUGUAUAUGCUGUUGUAGCAAGGGGUCCCUCCAUGCAAACUUGUUAUGCAGUUGUCUUCCUGAAGCUGAAUGUGAAACAUAGAGCAGACAUAAUGGUUCCAGUCCAGCAUUUGUUCUCCUUCUUAAGAGGCCUGUGAAAGGAUAAAAAAGCUACUGUAUCCAGCUUCUGGCCCUGUGUUGUGCAGAAUUCCAGAGAUCUCGCAGCAGCAAGCUGCUAUAUUUGUAGACCCCAUUUUGUCUGCAGAUUUUUAUUAUCUCAAUUACUGGUUGAAACUCUAAAAAAAAUCAUUAAAAGAAACAACACUUUGGGAACACAAAACUUAGAAAUAGAUAGAAUAGCUAAAAGCAUACUGUAUUUCAAAUCUCUAGUGACAAAAAACAUGCAAGUUAGGGGGUUCCUGUCUGUGUAAGGUAGGCAGUUAUGCUGUGCAAAUUUUGAGUUUAUUAGCAUUUUAAAAGCCUCUGCCAAGUGCACGGUGGGUUAUUUUAUGUUGUACGAGAAGGUCAGAAGUAAUGUGAGGCUGCAAGAGAUUACAGUAAUGAUGUAUUUACAGCUGCUUGUAUGACUUGUAGAAGAAUUGCUACAGUUCUGGAUACAGUUUGAAAGUCAUCAGCUGGCUUCAGCCAUCACUGAAUUUCCAGUCUCUUAUCCAGAAAAUUGUUUCCUGUUUUUAGUGCUAUCACAGUUUGAUUGAGUGGCCUCCUCAGUCCAGUUUUUACACAAAGAGUGUUCCACAUUUAUCCUCCAAGCAUACUGUUACUGUCAGAUGCAAAAUAUAUAUUACAUCUUCCUAGGCUCUUUGUAUAGUUGAAAAUCAUCCUGAUUCCCAGGUUUAGAGGGUAGAUUAUAUCUAGUUGAACACCAUCGUCACCUCCAGAUUUUCACUAAGGUUUAGAAACAUUGACAUUUGCAAAGUGUUUAACAAUUGAUGGGGUUCUGUUUUCUGCUGGUUUUUAGACACACAAAGAGAUUGACUACAAUCAAGGUGUUGCUAAGGAGAGGCGCAGAUCCCAAUAUGUGCCGUAUCCCUAUGUAUGUCCUCUUCUUUGCUGUUAAAGCUGCAGAUGCAAAUGCAGUGAAAAUACUUUUAGAAGCUGGAGCAAGGACUGACAUACGACUUCCAACCAGAGUAGGGACACCUUGUUUGUGUGUGAUAAUUAGUAAAAAAAAAGUAGAAUUUCAGUUAGUUAUUGGACCAAUGACAUGAAUGCUCUUGUGUGAAUUUUAGUGUCUUGUACAAGCCUUCAUAGCUUGUAACCUACCACCUCAAAUACAGCUCACCUGCCAGAUACUUGUCAAAUCCCUGUUUCUCCAAUCUGAUGGAGGAAACAAAAACAGGGAUUUUGGUGAGUGAGCCCCUAGUGGGAUGUGUCCGGCUUGAUAAGUCACAAGUUGUACAGUCUUUGUCUAGUGAAAUUCAGAUAUUCAGACUCAGCUUUGCUGUUUCAAAGGGGCUAUUGCAAUGAAACUGUUGGGUUGCUUGAAUAAAAUACUUUUCCCUAAAAGGAGAUCUUUAAAAACACAUCUGUAAUAUGAAUCUGUGAUACUACCAGCAUUUCUAGUUCUUUAAAAAGACUGAGGAAUAUUUAAAAUCUAGGCUUGGAGUAUAACUCUAAAAUCAAGUAAAGGUAUAUUCCUGUGCAAUGGCACACAAAGUGGUCUACAGUUGUUGUUAUGGGCCUUCAAGUUGAUUAUGACUUAUGGCGACCCUAUGAAUCAGCGACCCUAUGAAUCAGCGACCUCUAAUAGCAUCUGUUAUAAACCACCCUGUUCAGCUCUUGUAAGUUUAGGUCUGUGGCUUCCUUUAUGGAAUCAAUCCAUCUCUUGUUUGGUCUUUCUCUUUUUCUUCUCCCUUCUAUUUUUCCCAGCAUUAUUGUCUUUUCUAGUGAAUCAUGUCUUCUCAUGAUG